UACGUAGGGUGCGAGCGUUGUCCGGAAUUAUUGGGCGUAAAGAGCUCGUAGGCGGUUUGUCGCGUCGACUGUGAAAACUGGGGGCUUAACUCUCAGCUUGCAGUUGAUACGGGCAGACUUGAGUUCGGUAGGGGAGACUGGAAUUCCUGGUGUAGCGGUGAAAUGCGCAGAUAUCAGGAGGAACACCGACGGCGAAGGCAGAUCUCUGGGCCGUAACUGACGCUGAGGAGCGAAAGCAUGGGGAGCGAACAGG
rnacentral:rRNA from 1 species